rnacentral:lncRNA from 1 species
CCCUUAGCAACCUCAAUCUAUUUCAGCAAUAUACAAAUUGAACCCAAAAUUAGGAAAACGUUUAUGGUUCUAGUUCACUUUUUAUUUUUCCCACACUCUUUAUCACAUGCAUGCAAGAUGAACCACCCUCAUACCCAUGAAGUAUCACACUAAUACCCAAUUAUAGCUAUGUUUGAAAUUAAGAGCUGGGGUGAUGAUGCCUUACCUUUUAGGGUGAAGAAUUUUGGUGCUCUACUUGAAUAUUUCCAAGGCUUUGAGUGAUGGUUGAAGAUCAAUUGAUGAAAAUUAGCCUCUCCCUCUAGAACCCUCUCUCUCUCACACUAGAAAUAUCAUAAAUGAGCUUCAAAAUAGACUAAAGGGGUGUUUCAACAGAAUGGGGGUCGGGUUUUAAAUUAAACAAAUGGGUGUCCCGACACAGGUCUGCGGUCGCAUAUGUGACCGCAUAAUGGUUAUGCGGUCCGCAAAGUGACAGCAGAAAUGGACCUCAGGGGCCUGAACGUUCGGCCCAGGUAUGCGACCAGUAUGCGGUCCGCAUACUCGUUCUACGGUCGCAUAAUGCACCGCAGAACUCCCUCCGCAAAAACCCAAGAGGGAUUAUAAGACAGAUAUACGAUCCGUAUAUCGAUUAUGCGGUCGCAUAAUCGACCGCAAAACGGAACUCAAGUUGGCCAAACUUACUGCUUCACUCUGCGGCCAUUAUGCGGUCCGUAUAGUGAUUAUGCGGCCGCAUAAACACGUUUUUCCGCAAACAAAUUUCUUUUACUUUCCGGUGCAUUGUUCAACCUAAAAAGUCCGAACCGCGGCGAGUUUGCUAGCCGCGAAGAUCUUAUACCAUCCUCAAACACGUAAGCCUACUCCGGCACCAUGAAACCUUGAAUUCAUUUGCGAAAAUUACGGGGCUUUACACUUAAAUACUUCAAAAAUUUUCCGGGGUGUUACAUCGGCCUCGCAUCGGCUCAACUCUGCUCGGGACUUUGAAAACCUCUCCUGAUAGAGCGCCAAAGCCUAUACGGAAAAAAGAAAGAAAAUUAGACAGGAAGAGAAGAAAUAAACUAAGUAUGAUAUCAACAAAGGGAGUUGAGACUCACCCGAUUCAAGGCUUGUUGAGCCUUAUCGAGGAGACUCGAUACUUCACUCAGGUCGGUACAAUCCUCGACCCUGAUAAAUUAACCACGUAAGGGGUCCUCCCCUCCAUGGGCCCCAUCUAUUUCGGGAGU